UGACGACGAGACGCUAAGGUGUUGAAGCAGUGUACGUCAGACUUCCAAGAAAAGCUCGCAAUGUCAUAAAUAAAAGAUGCCUGUACCAUAACCGACACAGGUGGGUAGGUAGAGUAUACUAAGGGGCGCGAGAUAACUCUCUCUAAGGAACUCGGCAAAAUGACUCCGUAACUUCGGGAGAAGGAGUGCCUUAUUUAUAAGGUUGCAAUAACAAGAUCCAAGCAACUGUUUAUCAAAAACACAGGUCUCCGCUAAGUCGUAAGACGAUGUAUGGGGGCUGACGCCUGCCCAGUGCCAGAAGGCUAAAGAAGUUGGUUAGUGUAUGCGAAGCUGAUGACUGAAGCCCUGGUGAACGGCGGCCGUAACGAUAACGGUCCUAAGGUAGCGAAAUUCCUUGUCGGGUAAGUUCCGACCCGCACGAAAGGCGUAAUGAUUUGGAUACUGUCUCGGAGAGAGGCUCGGUGAAAUAGACUUGUCUGUGAAGAUGCGGACUACCUGCACCAGGACAGAAAGACCCUAUGAAGCUUUACUGUAACUUGAAAUUGGAAUUGGACUUUGCUUGCGCAGUAUAGGUGGGAAGCGUUGAAGAUAUUCUUGCGGGAGUAUUGGAGCUAUCAGUGAGAUACCACUCUUGUAAUGUUAGAUUUCUAACUUUGAACCAUAAUCUGGUCAAAGAACAGUUUCAGGUGGGCAGUUUGACUGGGGCGGUCGCCUCCCAAAUGGUAACGGAGGCGUACAAAGGUUUCCUCUGAACGGAUAGAAAUCGUAUCUAGAGUGUAAAGGCAUAAGGAAGCUUGACUGUGAGACCUACAAGUCGAGCAGGGACGAAAGUCGGUCUUAGUGAUCUGACGGUACUGAGUGGAAAGGCCGUCACUCAACGGAUAAAAGUUACUCUAGGAUAACAGGCUGAUCUCCCCCAAGAGUUCACAUCGACGGGGAGGUUUGGCACCUCGAUGUCGGCUCAUCGCAUCCUGGGGCGGUAGUACGUCCCAAGGGUUGGGCUGUUCGCCCAUGAAAGCGGUACGCGAGCUGGGUUCAGAACGUCGUGAGACAGUUCGGUCCAUAUCCGGUGUAGGCGUUAGAAUAUUGAGAGGAGCCUUCUUUAGUACGAGAGGACCGAGAAGGACACACCGCUGGUGUACCAGUUAUCGUGCCAACGGUAAACGCUGGGUAGCUAUGUGUGGAGUGGAUAACCGCUGAAAGCAUCUAAGUGGGAAGCCCACCUCAAGAU
rnacentral:rRNA from 1 species